rnacentral:rRNA from 1 species
UCCACGCUGUAAACGAUGUUCAUUAGGUGUGGGAGGUUUCAAUACCUUCCAUGCCGUAGCUAACGCGUUAAAUGAACCGCCUGGGGAGUACGACCGCAAGGUUAAAACUCAAAGGAAUUGACGGGGGCCCGCACAAGCAGUGGAUCAUGUGGUUUAAUUCGAUGAUACACGAAGAACCUUACCAGCACUUGACAUCUAGGGAAGCCUUUAGAGAUAUUGGCGUGCCUUCGGGG